rnacentral:rRNA from 1 species
AGGACGAACGCUGGCGGCGUGCUUAACACAUGCAAGUCGAGCGAACCUUCGGGUUAGCGGCGAACGAGUGAGUAACACGUGGGCAACCUGCCCCGAGCUCUGGGAUAACUCCGGGAAACCGGGGCUAAUACCGGAUAUGACCCGAGAAGACAUCUUCUCGGGUGGAAAGUUUUUCGGCUCGGGAUGGGCCCGCGGCCUAUCAGCUUGUUGGUGGGGUAACGGCCUACCAAGGCGACGACGGGUAGCCGGCCUGAGAGGGCGACCGGCCACACUGGGACUGAGACACGGCCCAGACUCCUACGGGAGGCAGCAGUGGGGAAUAUUGCGCAAUGGGCGAAAGCCUGACGCAGCGACGCCGCGUGAGGGAUGAAGGCCUUCGGGUUGUAAACCUCUUUCAGCAGGGACGAAGCGAAAGUGACGGUACCUGCAGAAGAAGCACCGGCCAACUACGCGCCAGCAGCCGC